rnacentral:lncRNA from 1 species
GCAAACUGUGGCCUGUGUGGGAGAGGAGAGAGGGAGAUGGACGGAUAAGAUACUGUUUGUCGGUCUCUUUGCUUUAUCUUUAUUUUUUGUAUCUCUUUCUUUGUUAGACUUUCUCUUUUCUCUUCUUUCUGCAGAGGAUAUGAAAUCACAGCCACCUCUACCCGUCUUUUGAGUGUCCUCCGGUGAGGAGCCUUGAUGUUAGCGCGGAGCCGCACUCCGUGAGUUCAGCAGCAGAGGUGGUGGUACGUUAUUCUGCCAUCACACAGAGGAGACCUCAGACUGUUUGGCAGAGAACCAAGGAACAGGCAUUAUGUGUUGAAUGAUCAAGAACAACAAAACAACUUUAGUGGAUUUGAAGUGGAAAAGAAACUGAGUUGGACAACGACAGGAGCUGAAUUCCGUCAGGUUCAGACUUUUGACAAGUGAGAGCUGAGUUGGGUUUUCUGUCUGCCAGGCUAAAGCUUCUGGACGUCACGUGUCUGAAAGAGAAGACUUAUUUAACGGAAGACUGUGGAUGGGGAGGUGUUUGAAUGUCUGCUGGCACAGUGGUCAUCGCUGGAGGGAUCCUGGCUGCAGUCAUCCUACUUACCAUCGUAGCUGUGCUGUGUAUAUGUAGACUGCAGUAUUACUGCGGCAAGGGGGGGGAGUCAGAGAAGGAGGAGGAAGAGGAGGAGGAGGAGGAGGAGGAGGAAGGGGAGGAGCAAAGGCUGGUGGACAUGUAUCCGCCUCGCCCCUUGGCCCUGCCUCCACCCCCGACCCCACCCAUCCAGGACCAUUACAGCGACCGCACAGAUUCAGACAUCUACCCCCCUACGUUCCUUACCGAGCCAGACGGCCCCGCCAGCCCCUCCCCCCUUUUC